CCUACGGGGUGCUGCAGUGGGGAAUAUUGGACAAUGGGCGAAAGCCUGAUCCAGCCAUGCCGCGUGUGUGAAGAAGGCCUUCGGGUUGUAAAGCACUUUCAGUGGGGAAGAAAGCCUUGGGGCUAAUACCCUCGAGGAAGGACAUCACCCACAGAAGAAGCACCGGCUAACUCCGUGUCAGCAGCCGCGGUAAUACGGAGGGUGCGAGCGUUAAUCGGAAUUACUGGGCGUAAAGCGCGCGUAGGCGGUCUGAUAAGCCGGUUGUGAAAGCCCCGGGCUCAACCUGGGAACGGCAUCCGGAACUGUCAGGCUAGAGUGCAGGAGAGGAAGGUAGAAUUCCCGGUGUAGCGGUGAAAUGCGUAGAGAUCGGGAGGAAUACCAGUGGCGAAGGCGGCCUUCUGGACUGACACUGACGCUGAGGUGCGAAAGCGUGGGUAGCAAACAGGAUUAGAUACCCUAGUAGUC
rnacentral:rRNA from 1 species